rnacentral:tRNA from 1 species
GCCCGGAUGGUGGAAUCGGUAGACACGCAGGACUUAAAAUCCUGUGACCUGUAAAGGUUGUGCGGGUUCAAGUCCCGCUCCGGGUA